ACUGUGGACCUUGGCCUGACUGCUCAGGGGACUGCUUGCUCUGUCACACAGCUGGAGAUGUACUGCUAAUGGCCCCAUGUUCUAGCGUGCCCUCUAGAAAUGGGUGUGGAUUUUGAGACCAGCAGUGGAGUGUUCACUCUGCUGAGCAGAUGAUUCUACCAAGUUCUAUGGUAAACUUGGAGCCAAGAAUUGCGAUGGUGGAGGAAACAUGCAGAGUCACUUAUGAAAAGGAAAUGCUUGUCUUGAAAUCCACUGUGGGAGUCUAUUGACAAAAAGUGAAAGGAUGCACAAAUAUGGAAAAGUGGACAGAAGAUUAAAUCCUCCUUAUAACCGUUUUCUCCAUGUUGUAUCAUCCAUUCUACAACUUGUGGGAUAUGAAGCCCAAACCUGCGUUUGCUAGUAGUCUAAGGAUUAUUUCAUUGUACUCAUCCAUUACUUUAUCUUCUGGCACUAGAUCACGAUAGGCGUUUGCAUUUGAAUAAAGCUUUUAGAAAAUGU
ensembl:lncRNA